rnacentral:rRNA from 1 species
CCUACGGGGGGCAGCAGUGAGGAAUAUUGGACAAUGGACGAGAGUCUGAAGCAGCCAAGUAGCGUGAAGGAUGACUGCCCUAUGGGUUGUAACCUUCUUUUAUAAAGGAAUAAAACAAGGCACGUGUGCCUUUUUGCAUGUACUUUAUGAAUAAGGAUCGGCUAACUACGUGCCAGCAGCCGCCGUAAUACGGAGGAUCCGAGCGUUAUCCGGAUUUAUUGGGUUUAAAGGGAGCGUAGAUGGGUUGUUAAGUCAGUUGUGAACGUUUGCGGCUCAACCGUAAAAUUGCAAUUGAUACUGGCAGUCUUGAGUACAGUUGAGGUAGGCGGAAUUCGUGGUGUAGCGAUGAAAUGCUUAGGUAUCACGAAGAACUCCGAUUGCGAAGGCAGCUUACUAAACUGCCACUGACAUUGAUGCUCGAAAGUGUGGGUAUCAAACAGGAUUAGAUACCCCGGUAGUC